rnacentral:rRNA from 1 species
AAAGCGUGCGCAGGCGGUUUUGUAAGACUGUCGUGAAAUCCCGGGGCUCAACCUGGGAAUGGCGAUGGUGACUGCAAGGCUAGAGUUUGGCAGAGGGGGGUAGAAUUCCACGUGUAGCAGUGAAAUGCGUAGAUAUGUGGAGGAACACCGAUGGCGAAGGCAGCCCCCUGGGUCAAAACUGACGCUCAUGCACGAAAGCGUGGGGAGCAAACAGGAUUAGAUACCCUGGU